rnacentral:rRNA from 1 species
UACAGAGGUCUCAAGCGUUGUUCGGAUUCAUUGGGCGUAAAGGGUGUGUAGGUGGCGCUGUAAGUCGGGUGUGAAAUCUCGGGGCUUAACUCCGAAACUGCAUUCGAUACUGCGGUGCUUGAGGACUGGAGAGGAGACUGGAAUUCACGGUGUAGCAGUGAAAUGCGUAGAUAUCGUGAGGAAGACCAGUGGCGAAGGCGGGUCUCUGGACAGUUCCUGACACUGAGGCACGAAGGCCAGGGGAGCAAACGGGG